rnacentral:lncRNA from 1 species
AUGCAAGCGUCCGAGGAAAGUUUCCAGAAAGCCUUCUUGAAUAAAGUCCAAUUACAGAGCAAGGAAAAGACAGAAAAAGCAGUUCCACGAGUCCUGACGAACUGCAGUAAAGUGAACAGAGCAGACAAAUGCCAGCAGUUGAUGCUAACGCUUGGAAAAAUGAAGCACACUCAGCUGUGCGAACUGAAAGGCAGACAGACAUCAGAGGGACAUGGCAGAACUGAUCCUUCUCAGGUGCCCUUUGGAGACAUGCCCUGGCAAACCUGACAUAAGGAGAUGCAGAAAGCAAACAGAUAGGUUGAUUUUUCAUAAAACUUUUCAACACUAGACUUAACAUACUUCGCAUAAUCUUCUAUACUAUAGGCCAUCUACAUGGAAUACACAAUGCAAAGUGUUAACUCUGUAGUACAUUACCUUCUAGUCUUUUGCACAGACUUUUCUCCAUUUUCCUCAUCACUAAAAUCAGAAUCAUAGUCACCAUGGCCAUGUACCUGAAAACAGUAACCAAUAAUGCAGUCAAUACACCUGUUAAAGUAAUAUGGACAAAACUUAACUAGAAAUCAGUACUGUGCAUCAUGCACAAGCAAGAGAGCGAGUGAGUGCAAAUACUCUCAUACGUCCAAACCAAACACAAGGGACAAUGCAGAGUAUUUUCCAAAUAACACAGGGCAAAGGAACUGUGGUUUCUCACAGACUUCACUAGUCAAAAAACACUUUAUAAAUAAUUUAUGUACAGAUAUUCCCAUAUUUAAUCUUCAUGCAAAUGCAGAUAACUAAAAGACGGAUAAACAUCUUUGGCCUUUCUUUUCAAACAAUCCCCCUUAUGUAGGAAAAAGGUGAGUAUUUUCCCCCAGGAGCUGCUCUUUUAGAAGCCUGGAGGACAGUAAAUGAUGUGCUCACAUUAAAAACAAAGAUAAGAAAAAAAAGUUUGUUGGCAGUGGUACAACGUUAUAGAUCGCUAGAUCUUACAUCGGUAGUCGGAAAGCUGGUUGUCAUGAUAAUUAAAAUACCAAACAAUAAGAUUUCUGGGAAAAACACAAGGUCUAAUCAGCACCAUUUUUGCAAAGAACAUUCAUACUAAGAAAUAAACUCUUUUAUUCCACACGCUUUGGGACUACA